CUUUUACAAAAGAUGACUGACCAGGACGAUGUGGAGUCUUUCCUGCUAACCUUUGAGCGGACAGCGGAACGGGAGAAAUGGCCGCAGGUUCAUUGGGCAGGGAUCUUAGCACCACUCCUGAUAGGGGACGCCCAAAAAGCAUAUUCUGACUUGGAGCCGGACUCUGCUGCUGACUACAGUCAGUUGAAGAAGGAGAUAUUGGCCCGGGCGGGAGUUACUACAGCUGUACGAGCUCAGCGGUUCCAUGACUGGCAGUUCCUAAAGGAUAAAGUGCCGCGGUCUCAAAUGUUCGACCUGAUACAUCUAACCCGAAAAUGGUUACAACCGGAGCUCAACUCAUCACCAUUUUAUAUGUGUGCAAGUACGUCACGGUCGAAAUGAAAUCUGCAUUUGAAGAAACAGGAAAGAAACAGGAAAAACCAAAGAAGUAAUUGACACAAAGUAUGACUACAUGGAGGAAAAAAAGGGAUUCCGAUAAAAUAUGUCAAAUCUGAUAUCAGAUUCAUAGAAGUAAUGGAGACAAUUUGUCAGAGGCUCAUGCAUUAUAAUUUGCACAAAGAAAGAACAGGAAGCAACCGAUUUGCAAAGUGUUAUGUGAUGGUGGAGCAGAAUGAAGAUGUAAUUGAAGACUGGUAUAGGAAACAUCAGGAUGAGGAUCUCACCACUUACCUGUGUGAAAAGCAUGUACUGAUGGGGGAAAACCAAGAGUGCUUGGAUGAAGUUUGGACUUCAAAAAAGGGCGAAACGGCAGCUAUUGAUGAAAAGAAGAAGAAAAAGAAGAAAGGAACAAAUAAUGACAAGGAGAACAACAAAAAGAAGAGCAAGGGAAGGAAAAAGAAGACGAGUGACCUGGAGACUGAGAGAAGGGACAGAGCAGAGGAUUUUACAUCUGACUAAGACAUCCAGAAAAAGGUCCCCCUCACCCAUGAUAAAAGUGAUCUAUGAGAGAGACGCAAGGAUCCAAUGUGCUGUGGACUGGCUUCUUAAUACAGUACCAGGCAAAAUGUGCACCGCUUUUCACAAUGGAAUGAAGACCACUUAAUCCGUGUGAUUCAGGCCCCAAAAAGUUUGGCAUUGCUUUCAGGAAAAGUGAUGCACAUUUUUACUGUAGGAAAACACUUUAAAAAAUGAAUGUGGCUGACAUACUUCAUUUGGAACACUGGAAUCUCUGUAAGUGUAAGGAAGGAUUGAAAUUCUCUGUGUUUUUUAUCAGUUUCCAUAGUCCACUCUGAGUGCCACUCAAUACAAUUGGAGGGAUUUGAUUAUCUUAUCUGUGCAGCGGUCUGUGUGCAUUUGAGAUGUUAAGCUAUAUAACUAAUUGAUCCCACAAUGUUUUGGCAUAAACUGCUGUUCAGGUAUCAAAACUAAACUGCAUGUCAGUGGAAGUCAAACUAACCCUCUGAUUACAUUUAAAUGACGGUGCCCUCUCCUAUAAUUUAAAUUCAAAUUGUCUUCUCGGUUGAGUGAAGUAUAAGAAGACGUUGGCCAACGUCUAUUUCCUUGGAGUUCUCCUCGGGUUUAUGAUUCAGUGUUUGAGGUUAUAGAGCCACGAUUUUACGAGGCAGCCAAAAGAAGGGUUUAUUUUAAAUAAAUGUACUUUAUUCAUCUUUAGCCUGUUUCACUUUUCUAAUUGUUAGCCUGUGGGACAGUGUGUUUUAGUGUCCCCUGUACAUCAAGGCAAUAUACAGAUUUUACAAGUACAAGCUGCAGAUCCACUCAUCUAAUCACUUCCUGUGCAGUACAUCACAUGACCUGAUUACAACUCGGCCCUUGGAGUGAAACUGAACUACAACACAGGAAGUUGUUGUGCACCAGGAAAUAGCAGCAACUUUUACUUUAGUGUUAUCUUUGACAAAUCUGCAUAAGCAAAGAACCUGUCGAUUUUCAUCAAAUAAAUUGGAACUAGUCAUAAUAUUGAUAUUUCUUGUAAAAGGCAUGAAAAUUGAUAUCGACAGGUAAUAUGUGCGUCAAACCGCACAGGCAUGGCCAGUACCACUAGGGGGUGCUGUGGGUUAAUGCAAUAGCCUUUCACCUCUGGGGGCUCGAAGGUUUGAAUCCAGCUCGGCUCACAAAUCAAAUCUGGUUGAUGGGUUUAACUUAGUCUGACUCACAAAGCUACCACGCAAUGUGGCACACAGAUGUUCAGGUCAUGAUUAUCAGGGUACAUUGGUGAAACGGGGCUCAGGGUAUCAAUAUAACUAGAAUAAGCUUGAUGCAGUUUGACACAUUUUUGAGGAACUCUAAAAUGAAUGUGUGUAAAUAGGUUGGACAACAAAAGAGUUUUUAGGCGAUACCUUUAAAUAGGAUCAGCUGAAUCCAGACAUAAAACCGUUCGCCUUUGAGACCACAAAGUGUACUCUUGAGGUGAGAAGUGAAGCAAGCUGGUUUGAGUUUAUCGUCAGGGCAAGGAGCAGUAUUGUAUUCCUUCUGACAAAUGAAGGUUAAGAAUUUCUCAUCUAUCUGCUAGGGGGGUUGCGGAUUGUAGCAUUCAGUGUAACGAGAAUUCCAAAAACAGCUGAUGAAUGGCAGGCUUGAUUUCCCCAGUUAAUUAAAAUAUGUGAUCUGCUACCCAUUACUGAAACAUGUGUCCCAGCAUUGCACGAUUCAGGAUUCUAAAAUGGCUUUAAAUUUAUAUAUUUUGUGCUAUAACAAAUUACAUUUACAUAUUCUGUUUUAUCUCCGCUACGCUCCCCUGCCUCCAGAGCCCGCUCCUUCUCCACCCUCGCCCCGCAGUGGUGGAAUGACCUUCCUACAGAUGUCAGGACUGCCCAGUCCCUGACCACCUUCCGGCGCCUCCUUAAGACUCACCUUUUCAGACAGCACCUGUAGAACUCCUCUGUUUUUCCCCUGGGACACUUAUCACUCUUCCUUAAAUGCGGUUUACUUGCUCUUAUUUGCCCCCUAUUUUACUGCAUUUAAUCCUGUACUUCAGAGUACUGUAAUCUGUCAAGUGUUUAAUCUGUAGUAUUUUGUAUUUAAUCAUAUCCUGAUAUAACUAUCACUGUUAUCUGCUGUAUUAUUGAAUUGUAUUUUGUCACACUUGUACUUUGCUUGAACAAAAGUCAUUGUAUUUAUCUUGCUCUUAUUGUAUUACUUGUAUUGUAACACUUGAAAUGUAUUUGCUUACGAUUGUAAGUCGCCCUGGAUAAGGGC